AUUGAACGCUGGCGGCAGGCCUAACACAUGCAAGUCGAGCGAGCGGCGGACGGGUGAGUAAUGUAUGGGGACUGCCCGAUAGAGGGGGAUAACUACUGGAAACGGUAGCUAAUACCGCAUACUAUCGGAUAACCCAUAUGGGAUUAGCUAGUAGGUGAGGUAAUGGCUCACCUAGGCGACGAUCCCUCGCUGGGCUGAGAGGAUGAUCAGCCACAGUGGGACUGCGAGGCGGCCGAGACUCAGACGGAGGCAGCAGUGGGGAAUAUUGCACAAGGGGCGCAAGCCGGAUGCAGCCAUGCCGCGUGUAUGAAGAAGGCCCGAGGGGUGUAGAGUACUUUCAGUCGGGAGGCGUUACCGACGGAAGAAGCAGCGGCUAAGUCCGUGCCAGCCGCCGCGGUAAUUC
rnacentral:rRNA from 1 species